ensembl:snRNA U6 U6 spliceosomal RNA
GUGCCCACAUAAGCAGCACAUACACUAAAAUUGGACCAAUACAGAGAAGAUGAGUAUAGUCACUACGCAAGGAUGACACCCAAAUUUGUGACGCAUCCCAUGUUAAG